CCUUAAUUCUAUGAACACUAUAUGAAUCAAUUUUAUCAUUGCAUGUAUGAAACGAUAAUUGAAUACUUAUUUUAUGUGUAAAUAUGUAGUGCGUAUAUUAUAUAUGGAAUAUGCAGAAACUUUCUAUAUAAUUAAGAGUGUGAGGUUAUAUUAAGAGUAUUUCCAUAAUUCAUUGAUCUAGUUGGAAUUGGAAGAAUAUAUAUUUCCAUAUGUCAAAAAUUUAUUAGUGUGACAUACCAAAUAGGAUUGCCACAUUGGUAUUCCUUGACUAGGGAAUUUUUUCUCCCCUCUUUCAUUUCCUCACUCUCUCACACACACAUUCCCGCCAUUCUCCACCUGCUCCACCGGCGAAAUUGCAUUGGUUGAUUGCCGGAAAACAAAGAUAUAAGCGAGAGUGAAUCACGAACGAGUGGAUCAAGGGAGGAGGAAUUCACCCAUCUUGUCGGCGUAUAUGGUAAAGUUAUUUCGUGUUCUAAAGUUCCUCCCGAAGUUCGUUUUCGAAUGAAAGCAUCAGUUAAUGAACACGGAGACAAGAAAAAAGAGAAAGUGAUGAGUGUUACCGGUGAGAAACCGUAUGAUAGUAAAUUCCAUGAUGAUGAUGUUCAAGAUGUUCAAAAAAGUAAAGGCAAAGGAGUUGAUGUUAAUAAGAGAAGGAGAAUCAGGGAUAUAGAAGAUGAUAUGAAAUCAGGUUCAGGUAAGGAUGGGGCAAGAUGGCAUGAGACUGAUAUGGCAUUGGCUAUGUGGUUUUAUGAUGCUUGCAUUCCUCUAACUGCCGUAAAUUCACCUUAUUAUCAAUCGGCAAUUAAUAAGGUAGCAAGUAUGGGGCGUGGAUAUAUAGGACCAAGUUAUCAUGCAUUAAGAGUUCCUUUGCUGAAAGAAGCUAAAGUAUCUGUCCAAACCACUAUUAACUCUAUGCGAAGUAAAUGGGCUGACUCAGGAUGCACAAUAAUGGGUGAUAGUUGGACAGAUAACAAGAAUAGGGCUUUGAUGAACUUCUUAGUUUAUUGUCAUCAAGGUGUGUCAUUCAUUAAGUCUGUUGAUAUCUCUGGUAUAGAGGCAAAUGCAGAGAAUUUAUGCAAUUUGUUUACUGAAAUUGUUGAAAUUGUCGGUGCUCAAAACGUGGUGCAUGUGGUUACUGAUAAUGCUCCAAACUACAAAAAUGCGGGUACUUUGCUGAGUGAAAGAUAUCCUUCAGUUGUGUGGUCUUCUUGUGCAGCUAAUUGCAUCAACUUAAUCAUGAAGGAUAUGUCAGAAUUGCCUCAUAUACAUGAUUUGAUUACACGUGCAUCUAGGAUUACUGGAUUUGUUUAUAAUCAUAAGUGGCCUCUUAAUUGGUUGAGAAAUAGGCCUGGCUGGACAGAAAUUGUUCGUCCAGGUGAUACUUGUUUUGGUACCAGUUUCAUAGCAUUGAAGAGCCUAUGUGAUCACAAAGACCACUUGCAAGCUCUAGUUACGAGUUCAGGAUUUAAAAGAUUUUUGAAAGUAGCUAAAGCACAAGAAGUUAAACAAGUUGUUAUGGAUGAACAGUUUUGGAAUGAUUGUUUAAUUAUUUCCAAGAUUAUGGGUCCGGUUAUGAGAUUAUUGCGCAUUUGUGCUUCUGAUGAUAAACCUUCACUUGGUUUUGUGUAUGAGGGCAUGUGGAGAGCGAUCAAACGAGUUAAAGAGUUGUUCAAAAAUAAGGAGAGGCUAUAUGGGAAGUAUGUUGAUAUAAUCGAAUCAAGGUGGGAUAGGAUGUUGAGAAAAAAUCUCCAUGCAGCCGCUUUCUACUUAAAUCCCGCUUUUCAAUAUGAUCCCGAAAUCCCUACUGAGACUGUAGAGGUGAUGAAAGGAUUACUUGAUGCCGCUGAGACUAUUCUUCCGGGUGUAGAUGGUUUGAUGGAUGAGAUAUAUACAUUUCGGGAUAAAAGAAAGGUUUUGGAAGGAAAAUUGUUUUGAAUAACUCAAAAUCUUCUAGGCCUGAUGAAUGGUGGAGGGUUUGUAGUCAUGAUGCACCAAAUCUAAAAAAGAUGGCUAUUAAACUUUUGAGCCAAACUACUUCUUCUUCGGGAUGUGAGCAUAAUUGGAGUGUGUUUGAAAGAAUUCACGCAAAGAAAAGGAAUAGAUUGGAGCAUCAAAGACUUACUGAUCUUGUCUAUGUUCACUACAACUUGCGCUUACAAAACCGGUACAAACUUAUGUAUUGGUCUGUUAUUUUCCAAUGGUUUCAACUUUCAAUAAUUUAUGUUGAUAAUUAUUUUUUGUUUCAUUAUUCGUUUAAAUGUGUAGUCUUGGUUCAAAGAGAAGGUCGUAUAAUCCGAUUGAUUGUGAGUGUGUAGAUAAAGUAGAGUUUUGGGUGAUUGAUGAAAAUCCCGAGGAAGAGCUUGAUUAUGAGGAAUUGGAGGAAAUGUUAGAUGAAGAACAAGCAAAAGGUGAUGGAGAUGGUGUUAUGAGGAUUAAUGAUGAAGAAAUCGAUUUCUCAAAAUUUGGUGAUGGUGACUGUGGCAGUACCAGCAGUAGUAGCUGUGAUGAGUUCAAUGGCGACUUGAGUCACCUUAAUCUUGAAGUUGGAAAUGAGAAUGAUGGAGAUGAUUGCUAAUUAUUUUGCUUUCAGCUUGUUCUUAUGUACUUAUGUAGGAGUAGUACUUAUUUUGAUAAAAACCUAUGUUAACUAGUAUUUGACAGUUGAACUUAUUGGUAAUCUUGUAGACUUAUUGGCAUCUCAUGUUAUUAAUAUGCAGAAUUUGUUUAUUAUAA